GAUGAACGCUAGCUACAGGCUUAACACAUGCAAGUCGAGGGGAAACGGCGUUGAGUGCUUGCACUCUUCGGACGUCGACCGGCGCACGGGUGAGUAACGCGUAUCCAACCUUCCCAUAACUAAGGGAUAACCUACCGAAAGGCAGACUAAUACCUUAUGUAAUUCUUAGAUGACAUCAGAAGAGAAUGAAAGAUUUAUCGGUUAUGGAUGGGGAUGCGUCUGAUUAGCUUGUUGGCGGGGUAACAGCCCACCAAGGCAACGAUCAGUAGGGGUUCUGAGAGGAAGGUCCCCCACAUUGGAACUGAGACACGGUCCAUACUCCUACGGGAGGCAGCAGUAGGGAAUCUUCCACAAUGGGCGCAAGCCUGAUGGAGCAACACCGCGUGAGUGAAGAAGGGUUUCGGCUCGUAAAGCUCUGUUGUUGGAGAAGAACGUGCGUGAGAGUAACUGUUCACGCAGUGACGGUAUCCAACCAGAAAGUCACGGCUAACUACGUGCCAGCAGCCGCGGUAAUACGUAGGUGGCAAGCGUUAUCCGGAUUUAUUGGGCGUAAAGCGAGCGCAGGCGGUUGCUUAGGUCUGAUGUGAAAGCCUUCGGCUUAACCGAAGAAGUGCAUCGGAAACCGGGCGACUUGAGUGCAGAAGAGGACAGUGGAACUCCAUGUGUAGCGGUGGAAUGCGUAGAUAUAUGGAAGAACACCAGUGGCGAAGGCGGCUGUCUGGUCUGCAACUGACGCUGAGGCUCGAAAGCAUGGGUAGCGAACAGG
rnacentral:rRNA from 1 species